GAUGAACGCUGGCGGCGUGCCUAAUACAUGCAAGUCGAGCGAACAGACGAGGAGCUUGCUCCUCUGACGUUAGCGGCGGACGGGUGAGUAACACGUGGAUAACCUACCUAUAAGACUGGGAUAACUUCGGGAAACCGGAGCUAAUACCGGAUAAUAUAUUGAACCGCAUGGUUCAAUAGUGAAAGACGGUCUUGCUGUCACUUAUAGAUGGAUCCGCGCCGCAUUAGCUAGUUGGUAAGGUAACGGCUUACCAAGGCAACGAUGCAUAGCCGACCUGAGAGGGGGAUAGGACCACCAGGAACAGAGGCACCGUGCCAAGGCCCAGAGGAGGGCGCAGGGGGGAAGUUUGCGAAAUGGGGCAAAGCCUGACGGAAUAAAGCCGCGUGGGUGAUGGAGGGCCUAGGGGCGUAAAAAUCUUUUUUUAGGGAAAAAAAAAAUUGUAACGUAAUGUGCCCGGCUUGAAGGUACCUAAAAAGAAAGCCCCGGCUAACUACGUG
rnacentral:rRNA from 1 species